GAUGAACGCUAGCGGCAGGCUUAAUACAUGCAAGUCGAGGGGUAACAUGGGUAGCAAUACCUGAUGACGACCGGCAAACGGGUGCGGAACACGUACGCAACCUUCCCAUAACUGGUGAAUAGCCCUCCGAAAGGAGGAUUAAUACACCGUAACAUAACGAAGUGGCAUCACUUUGUUAUUAUAGGCUUCGGCCGGUUUUGGAUGGGGCGUGCGCCUGAUUAGGUAGUUGGCGGGGUAACGGCCCACCAAGCCUGCGAUCAGUAACUGGUGUGAGAGCACGACCAGUCACACGGGCACUGAGACACGGGCCCGACUCCUACGGGAGGCAGCAGUAAGGAAUAUUGGUCAAUGGACGAAAGUCUGAACCAGCCAUGCCGCGUGAAGGAUGAAGGUCCUCUGGAUUGUAAACUUCUUUUAUCUGGGACGAAAAGGGCUUUCUAGCUCACUUGACGGUACCAGAGGAAUAAGACACCGGCCUAACUCCGUGCCAGCAGCCGCGGUAAUCUAGUCUACGC
rnacentral:rRNA from 1 species